AUCCAAAACCUUUGUUGGAAAACCCCGAAUUGAAGACGCUUGAAAAUGUUCGGUAGAAGCAGGUUUCUCUCGUUCCCAAUGGUGAUUGGAGCAGUUGUGAUUGGAGUUGUUUCAGGAAAGGCUAUUUUUGGACCACCGCUUGAUGAGUAUUGGAAAAAAAAGCUUCAGGAAGAGGCAGCUGCCAAGGGGUCUGAUUCAAACUCAAGUUCGCAAAUAUCAUCUUGAAUUUCCUCACACUGGUUAUUUUGUGAAAGGAUUUAUGGUUGGAUUGUUAAAAGCUUUUUUCAAGUCAAAUUUUCAAAGCAAGCAGGCAGGUACACCAAGAAGGCGAGCUGUGUUAGAAUUAUCCUGGACUCGAAGGGCAAGGAAAUUCCAAACAGAUCAGAUUACGGAAGUUACACCAAGAAGGUAACCUGUGUUAGAUAUAUGUUGGAUAUCAAGGGAAAGAAUAUCUCCAAGUAAAAGUGUGUAUUCACAUAA